rnacentral:rRNA from 2 species
GGAUGCGAUCAUACCAGCACUAAAGCACCGGAUCCCAUCAGAACUCCGAAGUUAAGCGUGCAUAUGUUUAGCACGUUUUACUAUUUUGCACGUU